GUAGGUGGCAAGCGUUGUCCGGAAUUAUUGGGCGUAAAGCGCGCGCAGGCGGUCCUUUAAGUCUGAUGUGAAAGCCCACGGCUCAACCGUGGAGGGUCAUUGGAAACUGGAGGACUUGAGUACAGAAGAGGAAAGCGGAAUUCCACGUGUAGCGGUGAAAUGCGUAGAGAUGUGGAGGAACACCAGUGGCGAAGGCGGCUUUCUGGUCUGUAACUGACGCUGAGGCGCGAAAGCGUGGGGAGCAAACAGGGAUUAGAUACCCUGGUAGUCCACGCCGUAAACGAUGAGUGCUAAGUGUUAGGGGGUUUCCGCCCCCUUAGUGCUGCAGCUAACGCAUUAAGCACUCCGCCUGGGGAGUACGGCCGCAAGGCUG
rnacentral:rRNA from 1 species